GGUGGCAAACAAAACCCAACCAUGAUAUUUUGGGUUAUUUUGGGCCUCUUUAAAAAAGCAAAUAAGUUAGAUUGGGCUGGGAAUUUAAUCAAGAUGGGUUAGAAUGGGUUUUAAAAUACCCAUCUAAAUUUUCACAUGGGUCAAGAUGGGUUUUUACUCCCUAAACCUAAAACACGCAUCCUUCAAACGAAUCUUCACAGUGAAUCCUUUCUAAUCAUGCUCUCACCCUUGGUGCGAUUCGUCUACAGACCAACUUGCAGUGAUUAACCCUUGGUGUUCAUCAACGUCCAAUGAUUAAUCCUUUCAAACGAAUCAUUACUCCCUAAACGAAUCUUCACAGUGAAUCUGCAAACAUUUUGAAACAUAUAAUUAGAAGAAUGACAAAAGUAAGCCCUGAGGUUUUUGAUGAUCCAGAUUGCUUACAUGAUGGAGUUGGGUCCCCAAACACUAAUUAGUUUACUCUCCUUGUGCUUGGGCUUUUUUUUUGGUUUUGCGUAUGUGUACGUUGAGGACCUAAUUCCUAGUGACAUAGUUUGUUAUAGGCAUUGUGCGAGGCCGAAUACAAGAAGCCACAAGUUUUCUAUGAUCUACUAGGUGAGUGCUAAUGGAGCUCUAUAGUAUGGUCAAAUAAAUGUUAUUUCACUGCAUAAAAAAGUGCAAAAAAUACAAACAGUUGGUUCCCACAUGGUGAGAAAGUUUUAAUUUUUCCAGUCUUGGUACAGUUCAGUUCAGUCUUGGAACUAUUACACA